rnacentral:rRNA from 1 species
GAUGAACGCUGGCGGCGUGCCUAAUACAUGCAAGUCGAGCGAACAGACGAGGAGCUUGCUCCUCUGACGUUAGCGGCGGACGGGUGAGUAACACGUGGAUAACCUACCUAUAAGACUGGGAUAACUUAGGGAAACCGGAGCUAAUACCGGAUAAUAUAUUGAACCGCAUGGUUCAAUAGUGAAAGACGGUUUUGCUGUCACUUAUAGAUGGAUCCGCGCCGCAUUAGCUAGUUGGUAAGGUAACGGCUUACCAAGGCGACGAUGCGUAGCCGACCUGAGAGGGUGAUCGGCCACACUGGAACUGAGACACGGUCCAGACUCCUACGGGAGGCAGCAGUAGGGAAUCUUCCGCAAUGGGCGAAAGCCUGACGGAGCAACGCCGCGUGAGUGAUGAAGGUCUUCGGAUCGUAAAACUCUGUUAUUAGGGAAGAACAAAUGUGUAAGUAACUAUGCACGUCUUGACGGUACCUAAUCAGAAAGCCACGGCUAACUACGUG